UACAGAGGUCUCAACCGUUGUUCGGAUUCAUUGGGCGUAAAGGGUGCGUAGGCGGUCGCGCAAGUCGGAUGUGAAAUCUCAGGGCUCAACCCUGAAACUGCAUUCGAUACUGCGUGGCUAGAGUGCUGGAGAGGAGACUGGAAUUUACGGUGUAGCAGUGAAAUGCGUAGAUAUCAGGAGGAACAUCAGUGGCGAAGGCGGCUACCUGGCCCAAUACUGACACUCAGGUGCGACAGCGUGGGGAGCAAACAGG
rnacentral:rRNA from 1 species